rnacentral:lncRNA from 1 species
GCAUCCAAUCCAUAAAGUGCUGCUUGUUAAUAAGAGGACAGUACCAUUUCCCAAUAAUAAAACAUUACACCUUUCUCCCUACCGUCAUCACACACGCCGUUACUUCCCAAUCCAAUCCCUUCUCGACAAACACCUACCCACUCUUCACGCCGUUUGUUUCUUCCAACCGGCUCUACCCGGUCUCAUAUCUCAUCUCAACCGGCAACUCCCUGUACCCUUCUUCUCCAAUAAUAUCUUUCAACUCAUUAACCGCACUUCAAUUCAUUCCACGUUCUUUUCACCACUCUCGUUCCUUCUACUGCUUUUUUUUUCUGUAACCGUUGAAGAGUAAGAAACGUUGAAAAGUUGAAUUGAAUUUGAGAAAAAGUGUUUCAGAUGAGAGAUCUAUGAUGAGAAUGACGUCAUCAGAGAUAACGAUGAAGGGAAAUGGUGGUGGUGAGGGACAUAAUGGUAAUUUAUCAUGUAUAGAUGCAGAAGCUGCACUUUACAGAGAACUAUGGUAUGCUUGUGCUGGUCCUCUUGUUACUGUUCCACGGGAAAGAGAACUUGUCUUCUAUUUCCCUCAAGGCCAUAUUGAGCAGGUUAAUUCAUUAUUCAAUUAUUUAAUUAAUUUUCCAUGCACAUAUCUUAUUUUUUACUUCAUAAUCUUUCUUUAUACUAAAUAGUUUCCUAAUAGAGUCAGAAGAGCUCAGAAUUGCUGAAUUUUGCUCCAAAUAAUGGAUUUGACCAAUUUUCAUAUUCUACGGUUAUUUUAUUUUAUUUACAUGCCGGUUAUAUUAANNNNNNNNNNNNNNNNNNNNNNNNNNNNNNNNNNNNNNNNNNNNNNNNNNNNNNNNNNNNNNNNNNNNNNNNNNNNNNNNNNNNNNNNNNNNNNNNNNNNAUCCCACAAUUGUCGCCUCAUAUGUAAAAAAUCGUGAUUUAUCAAAAAAUGUUUAAUAAUUAAACUUUUAAUUUAAAUACUUUUCUUCAAUCCAUCAUAAUUGAUGAUAUAUGAAGUAACAUAAAUUCUGGAAUAACAGAUGCGUUCCUCAUAAAUUAUUAUUGCAUAAUCUGGUUCCUAUAAUUCUAGACAUACUCAAAUUGUUAUCAUGCAUUAAUUAACCACCAUUGUACAAGAUUAUGGAAAAUUAAUAGUUUAUACUUUAACGAUGGUCAUUAUCUAUUAAAAGUUUGCCAAUAUUUUCAAAUAAAAGUAUUUUUUUUUGCAUGUAACCAAAGAUAUUCUUUCACUCUAUAAGUAUAAAAUUAAUCUAUUUUAAAAUUCAUGAUUAUACUUUUCAACCAAUAUUAUUCAUAUGAUUGGAUCUUUGAUCUUUUAGUCUAUCUAAGAUAGAGUAGACCAUACAUCACUAAAUAAAAGUUUACUUUGUGGACAGGAGUAGUAGGAAGAAAGAGGAAAAAAUAUAUACACAGACAAUAUAUGAAUUUUAUAUAUUUUUAUUAUUAUAUUAUCUAUAAUUCAUAUUUAAUCCAAAUGAAUGAUGAACAAUAUAAAGUCUGUAUGUAAAUCUUUACAUUGACAAUAUAUAUAUUUUAUACUCAUAAAGAAAUUACAUGAUGAUGUAUAAUAAAUAAAUAUUAAGAAGAUAAAUUAUUGAAGUAACCGUUUCUUAAGACAAAUUUAUCCUUCUAAUUCUAAACAUCGUUUUCUAUCUUAUCUAGAAAGAGCUUCGUUUUCUAAUUCAUCAGCCGACAUGAAGUAUCAGUAUACACUAAUUUGAAAGAGCUGUAAUUUGUAUGUUAUUAUUGUAAAAAAAAAUUGAAAGGCAAACAUACAUGUGUGUGAAAUGCUUACACCCUGUCUCUCUGCGUGUGGGUAUUGCAUCCAAUCCAUAAAGUGCUGCUUGUUAAUAAGAGGACAGUACCAUUUCCCAAUAAUAAAACAUUACACCUUUCUCCCUACCGUCAUCACACACGCCGUUACUUCCCAAUCCAAUCCCUUCUCGACAAACACCUACCCACUCUUCACGCCGUUUGUUUCUUCCAACCGGCUCUACCCGGUCUCAUAUCUCAUCUCAACCGGCAACUCCCUGUACCCUUCUUCUCCAAUAAUAUCUUUCAACUCAUUAACCGCACUUCAAUUCAUUCCACGUUCUUUUCACCACUCUCGUUCCUUCUACUGCUUUUUUUUUCUGUAACCGUUGAAGAGUAAGAAACGUUGAAAAGUUGAAUUGAAUUUGAGAAAAAGUGUUUCAGAUGAGAGAUCUAUGAUGAGAAUGACGUCAUCAGAGAUAACGAUGAAGGGAAAUGGUGGUGGUGAGGGACAUAAUGGUAAUUUAUCAUGUAUAGAUGC